AUCUAGUUAAUUAGUGUUAUCGA
rnacentral:snRNA from 1 species